rnacentral:sRNA from 1 species
UCUUCGUCAGAGAGUUGGGGCACUGGA